rnacentral:rRNA from 1 species
AUCAACUUUCGAUGGUAGGAUAGAGGCCUACCAUGGUGGUAACGGGUAACGGGGUGUUAGGGCACGACACCGGAGAGGGAGCCUGAGAAACGGCUACCACAUCCAAGGAUGGCAGCAGGCGCGCAAAUUACCCAAUCCCGACACGGGGAGGUAGUGACAAUAAAUAACAAUACGGGGUCCUUUGGGUCUCGUAAUUGGAAUGAGUACAAUUUAAAUCUCUUAACGAGGAACAAUUGGAGGGCAAGUCUGGUGCCAGCAGCCGCGGUAAUUCCAGCUCCAAUAGCGUAUAUUAAAGUUGUUGCAGUUAAAAAGCUCGUAGUUGAAUUUCGGGGUCGGUAGGUUGGUCAUGCCAUCGGUAUGCACUGGUCUCACCGAUUCCUCCCUCUUGUAGAAGCGUAAUGCCAUUAAGUUGGUGUUGCGGGGAAACAGGACUGUUACUUUGAAAAAAUUAGAGUGUUUAAAGCAGGCUAACGCUUGAAUACAUUAGCAUGGAAUAAUGAAAUAGGACGUCGAUCCUAUUUUGUUGGUUUCUAGGAUUGACGUAAUGAUUAAUAGGGAUAGUUGGGGGCAUUAGUAUUCAAUUGUCAGAGGUGAAAUUCUUGGAUUUAUUGAAGACUAACUACUGCGAAAGCAUUUGCCAAGGAUGUUUUCAUUAAUCAAGAACGAAAGUUAGGGGAUCGAAGACGAUCAGAUACCGUCGUAGUCUUAACCAUAAACUAUGCCGUCUAGGGAUCGGAUGAUGUUAAUUUUUUAAUGACUCAUUCGGCGCCUUACGGGAAACCAAAGUGUUUGGGUUC